rnacentral:rRNA from 1 species
UACGGAGGGUGCAAGCGUUAAUCGGAAUUACUGGGCGUAAAGGGUGCGUAGGUGGUUUGAUAAGUUAGCUGUGAAAUACCUGGGCUUAACCUGGGCAGGUCAGCUAAGACUGUUGGACUAGAGUAUGGGAGAGGGUAGUGGAAUUUCCGGUGUAGCGGUGAAAUGCGUAGAGAUCGGAAGGAACACCAGUGGCGAAGGCGGCUACCUGGCCUAAUACUGACACUGAGGCACGAAAGCGUGGGGAGCAAACAGGAUUAGAUACCCUGGUAGUCCACGCUGUAAACGAUGUCAACUAGCUGUUGGCCUUAUGAAAGAGGUUAGUGGCGCAGCAAACGCGGUAAGUUGACCGCCUGGGGAGUACGGUCGCAAGAUUAAA